GAUGAACGCUGGCGGCGUGCCUAAUACAUGCAAGUCGAGCGAACGGACGAGAAGCUUGCUUCUCUGAUGUUAGCGGCGGACGGGUGAGUAACACGUGGAUAACCUACCUAUAAGACUGGGAUAACUUCGGGAAACCGGAGCUAAUACCGGAUAAUAUUUUGAACCGCAUGGGUCAAAAGUAAAAGACGGUCUUGCUGGCACUUAUAGAUGGAUCCGCGCUGCAUUAGCUAGUUGGUAAGGUAACGGCUUACCAAGGCAACGAUGCAUAGCCGACCUGAGAGGGUGAUCGGCCACCCUGGAACUGAGACACGGUCCAGACUCCUACGGGAGGCAGCAGUAGGGAAUCUUCCGCAAUGGGCGAAAGCCUGACGGAGCAACGCCGCGUGAGUGAUGAAGGUCUUCGGAUCGUAAAACUCUGUUAUUAGGGAAGAACAUAUGUGUAAGUAACUGUGCACAUCUUGACGGUACCUAAUCAGAAAGCCCCGGCUAACUACGUG
rnacentral:rRNA from 1 species